GACAGAGGUGCCAAGCGUUAGGCGGAAUCACUGGGCUUAAAGCGUGUGUAGGCGGAAUUGUAAGUACCUUGUGAAAUCCCACGGCUCAACCGUGGAACUGCUCGGUAUACUGCUUUUCUUGAGCCACUUAGGGGCUGUCGGAACAAACGGUGGAGCGGUGAAAUGCGUAGAUAUCAUUUGGAACGCCAAUGGUGAAAACAGGUAGCUGGGGCUGUGCUGACGCUGAGACACGAAAGCCAGGGGAGCAAACGGG
rnacentral:rRNA from 1 species